rnacentral:rRNA from 1 species
GAUGAACGCUAGCGGGAGGCUUAACACAUGCAAGUCGAGGGGCAGCACGAGGUAGUAAUACUUUGGUGGCGACCGGCGUACGGGUGAGUAACGCGUAUGCAACCUACCCUGUACAGGGGGAUAGCCCGGAGAAAUUCGGACUAAUAUCCCAUGAUGAUAUCAGAUGGCAUCGUUUGAUAUUUAAAGCUCAGGCGGUACGGGAUGGGCAUGCGGAACAUUAGCUAGUUGGCAGGGUAAUGGCCUACCAAGGCAACGAUGUUUAGGGGACCUGAGAGGGUGAUCCCCCACACUGGUACUGAGACACGGACCAGACUCCUACGGGAGGCAG